UGGGGAAUAUUGCACAAUGGGGGAAACCCUGAUGCAGCGACGCCGCGUGAAGGAAGAAGUAUCUCGGUAUGUAAACUUCUAUCAGCAGGGAAGAAAAUGACGGUACCUGACUAAGAAGCCCCGGCUAACUACGUGCCAGCAGCCGCGGUAAUACGUAGGGGGCAAGCGUUAUCCGGAUUUACUGGGUGUAAAGGGAGCGUAGACGGAGCAACAAGUCUGGUGUGAAAACCCGGGGGCUCAACCCCGGGCCUGCAUUGGAAACUGUUUUGCUUGAGUGCCGGAGAGGUAAGCGGAAUUCCUAGUGUAGCGGUGAAAUGCGUAGAUAUUAGGAGGAACACCAGUGGCGAAGGCGGCUUACUGGACGGCAACUGACGUUGAGGCUCGAAAGCGUGGGGAGCAAACAGGAUUAGAUACCC
rnacentral:rRNA from 1 species